AGUGAACGCUGGCGGUAGGCCUAACACAUGCAAGUCGAACGGCAGCACAGUAAGCGCUUGCUCUUACGGUUGGCGAGUGGCGGACGGGUGAGGAAUAGAUCGGAAUCUACUUUUUCGUGGGUGAUUACGUAGGGAAACUUACGAUAAUACCGCAUACGACCUACGGGUUAAAGCAGGGGAUCUUCGGACCUUGGGCGAUUGAAUUAGCCGAUGUCGGAUUAGCUAGUUGGCGUGGUAAAGGCACACCAAGGCAACGAUGCGUAGCUGGUCUGAGAGGAUGAUCAGCCACACUGGAACUGAGACACGGUCCAGACUCCUACGGGAGGCAGCAGUAGGGAAUAUUGCACAAUGGGCGAAAGCCUGACCCAGCCAUACCGCGUGGGUGAAGAAGGCCUUCGGGUUGUAAAGCCCUUUUGUUGGGAAAGAACAGCAGCAUGUUAAUAUCUCGCUGUUCUGACGGUACCCAAAGAAUAAGCCCCGGCUAACUUCGUG
rnacentral:rRNA from 1 species